rnacentral:lncRNA from 1 species
GUGAAAAGACGCAUUCACGUCUGAUCGACGUGAAAAUUAUGUGUGAACCUUUAAAACCAUAACGUUCAAAGUAUUGAUAUUCCUAUAAGGCAAUACCAUUUAUAAACCGGCCUAUUAUCUAAUAUCUAAAUAAAUUACUUGAAUAAUAUAAAUUUUCUUUUUUUCUAUUUUUUUUUCUCAUGUUUUUUCAGCAUAGUAUUAUGAUCUGCUUACCCUUCCGGAGCACCUGUGAUCACCCCCAGAUUUUGGUGGGGUUCGUGUUGCUAAGUUUAAGUUUUUAGUUUUCUAUGUUGUGUCUUGUGUACUAUUAUUUGUCUGUUUGUCUUUUUCUUUCUUAGCCUUGGCGUUUUCAGUUUAAUUUCGAUAUAUGAGUUUGACUGUCACUCUGGUAUCUUUAGCCCCUCUUUCUUUUUAUAAAUUUAUCUUUCCUUAUUUACUCCCAUGGCAUGAUAUUAACGUCCUGUUCUAACAUUGUUGCAAUAUGAAAUUCAUACAAUUUUAAAAAAUUUUGACCGAUCAGUAACUUCUAC